UCAACAGAACCUUAUAUAGUUGCACAUAACCAGCUUCUUGCUCAUGCUGCGGCGGUCGAUGUUUACAGGACAAAAUAUAAGUUCCAAAAAGGGAAGAUCGGACCAGUGAUGAUAACCAGAUGGUUUCUUCCAUUUGAUAAGACUGACCAAGCCAGCAGAGAUGCAGCUAAUAGGAUGAAAGAAUUCUUCUUGGGAUGGUUCAUGGAGCCGCUAACAAAGGGUAGAUACCCAGACAUCAUGAGGGAAAUUGUGGGUAGUCGGCUUC